UGACCAUUUGGAUUAGAACAAAAGCAUCAGCACCCAUGGCCAUGGAUUCAAAGGAGAGGAUAUCAAAUCUUCAAACCAAAGAAAGCUCCUACCUCACGAAAGAAAGCUACACCAAAUCUUAUUUUCACCCUGGUAUUUUGGGCUCUUGCAGGAUAAGAAGUCAGAGAAACUUGUGUAUUACUACCAAAAAGUCUGGAGUAAGAGCUACAGCUUUUGGUUUGCAGUGAUUUAGAAUCAUAUGAAGAUCCGAUUUCUUUGCUUCUAGGCUGGGCAGGAAUAUUGCCUGAGAACAAAGACCACAGAGAAGAAAAGUGAUCAAGGGAUGGAGAAAACAGACUGAAUCCCAGUGACAUCUUUACGAAACUGAGGGCACAUCUGCCAUUGGACUGCUCACGUUUGUGAAAUAACACAUUCAUUGUUUCCGUCCAAGCUGAUACUAUUGCAGACCCUGAAUGUGUAUCAGUGAAGGAGACACACAAAACGUGCCUACUGUCCUCAUGGAGCUAACAUUUCUACAGGUGAAAUUGUGGGAUGCCUGCAUGAAUCAGUGAUAUUUACUAUGAUAAACUGCCUUUGGACUCAAACUGCAACUUUCUUGACUAUUCGGCCAGACAGCCUCCUCCAGCAGAUUUUAGAUUCCCUGGGCCUCCACAAUUACACAAGCCAAUUCCUCAAAAUGAGCCAAUCCUAUUGAUUCUGUUUCUCUAGAAAACCCUGACUAAUUCAGGACCAUCCAAGUUGGAGCGCCCAACCCAGGUCUUCUCUCAGAAAAAGAGGCUUUUAUCCUCAUUUGUUCCUUCUGCUGACUCAAGAGAGAGAGAGCACAAGCAGGGGGAGCAGCAGAGGAAGAA